AUAACCUUCACUUACAAAAUAAAACCCAGUUUCUUGACGCUAAAUUUUAGGGUCGUUGCCGCGUUCGAUCGUUUCCUUCAAUUACUACAUCCACAUUUAAGUUUAAAUCCAUAUAUAUACACACUCUAAUGCAGUACUAGAUUCCAAAAAAGCUUGCAUCAGCAACUCUGCAUUCAUCUUCAUCUUCCACCAAUAAUCUGUUAUCUUGUUCAAAUCAUGCGGGUAUACAUACUACAUGUAUAUAUCAAUUUUCCUUCUCAAAUAAAUUAUCUGCAGAUAUCUAAUUACGUGAUCCUUGUUCAAAAAAUAGUUAUUAAGAUAAAGUUCAGAUGCAAAAAAUGCAGAUCCAAGGCCAUGACUAUUGCGGCCAUGACAUCAGGUGUGGUGUCGGUGAAGCUAGAAGGGGACGAGAAAGAUCGAGUGGUAGUCAUCGGAGACGAGGUCGAUGCAGUCGGAAUGAUAAUCUUACUGAGGAAGAAAGUUGGUCAUGCAACCCUUGAACUUGUAGCUGAACUCAUUGAUUAGAUAUUUGAAACCAACUUAUACUUUUCAUUAACAACAUUUACUUGUCUGUGUAUAUACUAUACUCCUUCAUUAACAAAAGGUGCAUUUGUAGCAUAAUUUCAAUAAAAUCAAUAUGGAAGUAUUCAAUC